rnacentral:lncRNA from 1 species
ACGUGAGUCUCCCUUUCGUCCUAUGACGUCUGGCUGAGUUUUCCUCCUCUCCGUUGGUGUCGAUAAACGUGAGUCUUCCUAUUCGUCCUAUGACGUCUAGUUGUACCUGUCCCCUUGUGGAUUUACCUCUCCGUUGACCUUGGUAAACGUUGAGUUUUUCCUAGUUGUCCGUUGGCAUCUAGUUGUGAUUUCUUUUCCCAUUCGUCAUCGUUGUGAUGUCUGGAUGUGGUUAUACCCGUUGAAAACAAAAACAAAAAUAAGCAUCAAAUCCCAGUGGACGUUUCCAUUGGUGGAUCCCUUUUGUGCAAAUUCUACGGUUCUUGGUAUUCAAUCCC